AUCCAUCUAUCCAUAUUUCACCAAACAUAUGAGAGAAUGGAUGAAUAAUUCAUCCAUUCUUCCUCGUAUAUUCUUUUUUCCAUUCAUUUUUUAUUCAACCUAUUCUUCGUACUAAAUAGAAAAUGAGUGCCUUACUGUAGUCGCAAAGCCUCAAAUACUGUUCAUGCUAACUUGUGGAUCCAACAUGCCAUAUCCCGUAAGACCCGAAGCUGCAAUAGCUAUAUAUCUGCGCUCUAUAUCCAAGUUUCUCAAGUCAUUGAGAUUUGGGACGGGGGCCACGGAGCCUUGGGAAUUGCCACCAUCCCCAUCCAUGAUCGCACUCGACUUUUGUACUUGGUCUGUUCAGGUACGCUUCUCUCAGGCUUGUUUCCUGCAACACUAACAGGUUUACCUAAUGGAAGAGUGGAUUCAAAACUCUCCAGGAUGAAUUGGAUUCGAAAGCUCACAGUCACUGCUUCUCAGCCAGAUAAUGAGGGUGGUGUUGGGGCUCAGUGCCAACAUCUCCAGGUUGGAUUGAACUCGAGGAGAGUGCCAGAUAUAAUAAUCAACAAUUCUUCAGCAUCAUCUGUUUAGGAUACAAGGCUGCACAGGAUUGGGCAUUUAAGAGUCCAAAAAUGGACAUGGACCACAGAUAUGCGACUUCGUAUUGAUGCCGUUGAUGUUACGAGCCAGAAUCUUCUAAUGGUUUGCAGAGAGCAUGCAAUCUGUUCAAAUAAUGCGCCAUGCAAUCUCCCGCAUGAAACCAAUAGUAAUUUGAACUACUUUAGACCAGUCAACGAUAGGCAACCUACUUCUGGUUGCUCUCGUGUGGCUCGUCUGUGCUGCCAAUCUAUGGAUGAUCACAAGCUCUUCUUAGAAAUAUUUCUUGCUCCAAUUGCUUGUACAAGAGUGCUACAGCCAUUGAGCAAAACUAGUGAAGCAAGUUGCAAGCGGACAUGUUUGAACAAAUACUUUUACAAAACUGCUCUUUUUCAAUA